ensembl:miRNA
GUCAGUCAGCAGGUUGUUCCUUUGUGCUUGAUCUAACCAUGUGGCUGCCAGGUUCCUAAAGUGGAACAUGGUUCUGUCAAGCACCAUGGAACGGCCCUGCAAA